AGAAACAAUAUUUUUAGUCGCAAAUCUAUCAAUAAUUAGUGUCUUUAAAUGAUACUAAUAGUUCUUCAUAUAGAGACCCGAGGAUGCCCUCUUUUUAUCAAUAACCAGGUUCAAAGGUCCAGAGAGGAGGCUAGAGAUGAGAUUGGGAUCGUGCUUCAUUGGUGUUUGGUGGCUUCUCUUGUUCCUGUCCUGCAUUACAAUAUGUUCUGCAAGAAAACUUCUUCCAAUUUUAGAAGAAGAUACCAAGGCAUAUGCUGAUAAUGUUGAUGGAGAUAAGUCUCGGGACACCGACAAUAUUUUUGAUUAUGGCUCCUUUACGCCUACCCCCGGUGUGCCCAUACCGCCGCAUUCUCCACUUGAACCACCGGCGGCAAUGGAAGAAGAUCAUGUGAACUAUUCUAAGCCAAAUCCAAGCCAGGGCCUCCACUCCCGCCACCCUAAACAUCCUAUACCGAACUAGGUUCUGCCACCUUGUACAAUGUCCUAAUGCUGAAUCUUGCAUUGCUAUGAAUGAAUGGAAGCAUGUUGGCAAUAUCUAGCUUAUGAAUAAAGGGGACAUUGUUCAAUUUCUUUUUUUUU